rnacentral:rRNA from 1 species
AGGACGAACGCUGGCGGCGUGCUUAACACAUGCAAGUCGAGCGGAAAGGCCCUUCGGGGUACUCGAGCGGCGAACGGGUGAGUAACACGUGAGCAAUCUGCCCUUAGCUUCGGGAUAGCCCCGGGAAACCGGGAUUAAUACCGAAUAUGACCUCGGCCGACAUCGGCUUUGGUGGAAAGUUUUUCGGCUAGGGAUGAACUCGCGGCCUAUCAGCUUGUUGGUGGGGUAAUGGCCUACCAAGGCGACGACGGGUAGCCGGCCUGAGAGGGCGACCGGCCACACUGGGACUGAGACACGGCCCAGACUCCUACGGAAGGCAGCAGUGGGGAAUAUUGCGCAAUGGGCGAAAGCCUGACGCAGCGACGCCGCGUGGGGGAUGAAGGCCUUCGGGUUGUAACCCCUUUCAGCAGGGACGAAGCGAGAGUGACGGUACCUGCAGAAGAAGCGCCGGCUAACUACGUGCCAGCAGCCGC